rnacentral:ncRNA from 1 species
GCAAACUCGUGACUUCAGUCGUGAGUAAGUAACCUCGUAUAGUCAGCAUGUACAGAAAUGUGCAUGUAGAGGCGGACACAAGAGCCGUCCAAUAUCACUUGAAUUGCUGGAAACCCCUAAAGCUAACUAAACUACAACAUAUAACCUUAAAUGGUUACAGUGUGAACGUUGCGAAAGCAGAAAAAAUUAGUUAGAUGGCAUAAGGAGCAUUUUAUUGCGACCGUGGUUAAAACCUAAGUGUCUAAACAAUGGGCAAUCAGCAGGUAAGACCGAAAGGUAAACUUCAACGACUAUUCCUCUUGAGGGAAGUACACUACAAGCUAUUGGUAGUGGAAGUGGGUGACGCUUAACAUGUAAUGAUGAAGAUGAAGAUAUAGUCUGUGCUUAUAUGAAAGUAUAAG